GUUUCUUUGAAAAUUGGCUUGAUGUGUCUGUCCAAGGGUCAUCUGGAGGAAAAAAUACAAGUAUAUCUUCAAACAAGUAGCUGAACCCACAGAUUUAUGUGACCAACGAAGCCUGAGCCUUUUGCUUCACGAUGCAGUCCAGAUCCCUCGGCAGCUGGGUGAGGUAGCUUCAUUUGGAGGCAGCACCAUUGAACCAAGUGUCCGCAGUUGCUUCCAACAUGCACUCAGACAUGAACUAAUGGAUAAGGAGGAGACAAUCAUAACUGCUUUGGAUUCAGCCCAUAGAAGGGCCAGAGGAGCCGCGCUGACACCUUCAUGUUUAAACAGAGGACACUUUUCUGCGUGCCACGAGAUGUAUAUCAGCCAUACCAAAAUGCUGCCUUUGCCUGAGACAGGGAAGAUCAACUGACUUUGGGGAAAUGGAGAAUCAUUCAUGAAUCCAGUUACUUUCUGAUCUGACAGCUUUGUGGCAUCUGAAUGGAUAACAAUUUGAUCUGGUAAUCUCAAUUGAUAGAGUGCAAAUGUGUAGUGAUGCAUUUUGGGAGCUCUGGUAAGUGAAAGAUGUUCACAAUGACUAGUAGAUCCCUAGAGAGCACUGAGAAACAAAGGGACCUUGAUGUCCAAAAGCAAGAGUUCAUGCCCUCUGCUUCUGGCCUUUCAGGCAAAGUUGGAUCCAACACUCCACUGAGUCUUAGAUCCCAUGAGCUCUUGUUUUGUUGACCAGUCUGCUAUCACUGACCUUAUCAAAAACAUAUAGACCACAUCAGAUGAAUUUCCCUCUUCAACACUUCUGAUAUCUCCUCAAUAAAAAUUAGAUAAAAUUUGCAAACCAUGGCAUUACCUCAACAAAGCCAUGCUGACUAUCCCCGAACAUUCCAUGUUUCUCCAAGUGCAGCGACAUUUUGUCCCUUAAAAUUCUUUCUGAUAACUUCCCUACCACCAAGGUUAGACUGGCUUGUAACUUCUGGAUCUGUCCUUUCUUCUUUUAUAUAAAAGUAUGAGCGGUCCUCUGGCACCUUAGCUGUGGCCAGAAAUGACUUGAAAAAUCUUUGCCAGGACCUUUUGAUAUCUCCUCCCCUGCUUCAUAAAGUCAUGCAGUAUAGAAACAGGCUCACUUGAUCAACAUCAAUGCCAACUAACAAACAUCAAACUACUGAUCCCAUUUACCUGCACUGAGUCAUUACCUGCCAUACCCUGGCCCUUUAAAUGCUCAUCUGUUGCUUCUUUAAUAUUGCAAGCGUAUCUGCCUUCUCCACCUUGUCAAGCAGCAUAUUACAUGUUUGUAUCACUUUUGGUGAAAACACUUGCCUCAGAUCCCCUCUAAAUAGCUGACAGUUUACCUGAAAUCUAUGCCCCCUGACUUAAACUCGUCUACUGGUUCUCACAAUCAAUCUAUGCCUCUCAUAAUUUUGUAUACGUCGAUCAGAUUUCCCCUCAGCCUCCUCUGCUGCAUGGAAAACGCAAUUAGCCUACCAGUUUCUCCUCAUAAAACUUGCAUUCAAUCACAAAACAACACCCUGAAACAUAUACUAUCAACCAACCUGGCCAACAUCUCUGUCUCCGGCUUGCUACAGUGUUCCAGUGAAGCCCAGCACAAGCAGACAGAACAACACCUCAUUUUCUACUUGGGGACCUGACAGCCCUCCAGACUUAACAUUGAGUUCUGCAAUGUUAGGGCCUAAACUCUCCCAUAUCCCAGCGCCCCCACCCCACACACCAACCCUCUGCUCUCAGUAACACUGUCUGCCCGUCACAGGGCCCUCACCCCCUCCUCUAAGUAAUACUGCCCGUCACAGGGCCCUCG